UCCGUAGGUGAACCUGCGGAAGGAUCAUUACUGAUUUGCUUAAUUGCACCACAUGUGUUUUUCUUUGAAACAAACUUGCUUUGGCGGUGGGCCCAGCCUGCCGCCAGAGGUCUAAACUUACAACCAAUUUUUUAUCAACUUGUCACACCAGAUUAUUACUAAUAGUCAAAACUUUCAACAACGGAUCUCUUGGUUCUCGCAUCGAUGAAGAACGCAGCGAAAUGCGAUACGUAAUAUGAAUUGCAGAUAUUCGUGAAUCAUCGAAUCUUUGAACGCACAUUGCGCCCUCUGGUAUUCCGGAGGGCAUGCCUGUUUGAGCGUCGUUUCUCCCUCAAACCGCUGGGUUUGGUGUUGAGCAAUACGACUUGGGUUUGCUUGAAAGACGGUAGUGGUAAGGCGGGAUCGCUUUGACAAUGGCUUAGGUCUAACCAAAAACAUUGCUUGCGGCGGUAACGUCCACCACGUAUAUCUUCAAACUUUGACCUCAAAUCAGGUAGGACUACCCGCUGAACUUAAGCAUAUCAAUAAGCGGAGGAAAA
rnacentral:rRNA from 1 species